GGGACGGAGACGGAAGCGCCGCCGCCGCCCUCGACCUGCCCACCCCGCUCCGGAUCCAGCCCCAACGGCUACCCACUAACUCCACUUUCCUUCUAUACCCGCCGCACGCCACCUCGCCGAAGCCGCGCCCGGCAAGGACAAGCCCCCGGCUGCCGCGACCGCCUCUGCCCCGACUAUAAAGGCGCGCCCUUUGGCCGGCCAGCUCCUUCUCUCUUCGCCGAGGCCACUCCUCCUCUCUUCGUCCGGGCCAUGCCUCUCGCUCUCGCCUCGAUUCGUCCUCGACUGGUGCCUCGCCUCCUCUCGCGUCCGGUUUCAUCUUGCUCAUCCCCGCUCGAUUCGUCCGCUCGGAUUAGAAGAAUCAGAUUUGGUUUUGCUCGUCUGCGGGGUUCUGAUUUAUUUGGUUCUGCUCGUUCGUCCUCGCCGUCGUUCGUUCAGAAAUCGCGUCUGGUUCUUUCGAUUCUGCUCGUCCUCGCCGUCGUUCGUUCAGAAAUCGUGCCUGGUUCAUUCGAUUCUGCUCUGCUUGUCCUCGCUCUAGUCCGUUUAGAUCAGAAUCGCGUUUGUUUUGAUUUUGCUUGUCCUCGCCGUCGUCAGUUUAGAUAGAAUCGCGUGUGAUUUGAUUCUGUGCGUUCUCGCCAUAGUCCGUUUGCAAUCGCGUUUGCUUUGAUUCUGCUCGGUCCCCUGUGUUGCUGCUGGGUUCGUUACGCUGAUGCCCUCGCGUGUUCUUCGUGCCGUCUCGUCGUGGGUAUCCGUGCCGUGGAGGAAGCGAGCGGUCGGUCGGUUUGGGUCGUCUGGUUUGCGAACUAGCAAGUCUGUUUGAGAAACUUCUGCGUGCGCUUCUGUCAUCUGAGAGGCGCUCACGUUCCUGCGUUUCUUGUUCGCGUCGGGCCGAUGUUCGCGUCUGCUUUUGAAAUUGGAUUGCCGUUUAUCCGUGGUCGUUCAGAUCGUUCCUCUGUUCUGUCACCUGCGUUGUUCGUCCGUUAUUUUCAUAUCUGAAACGCAUGCGCCCUUUGAUACUACUGUACUUGAUGGAUGUUCAGAUCUCAAACGCUGCCUUGUUCGGAUGGGUUGUUCUGAUUGAAAUUGGAUUGUUGGCCCUCUGUCGAUUCUUGUUCUACUUGCUGUAUGUUCAGGGUGUUACUGCUUAUGUUCUUUUCAAUUGCUUAAUUCUUGUCAUGCUGUGCUUAUGUUCCCAUAUAUGAUUGUGUGUAUUCAGGGGUGCUUAGGCAGAAAGAUUUACUAGAGUGCAAACCAUGUAAUUCCUCAUGUUGCUGCUACUUCACAGUCACAGUGCUUGAAUUUCUUUAUAGCUUUGUCUGAAUCACCCUCACCGCUCUAGAGAAAUCACUUUACUCAUUCAAGUUCUGGAAUGUCUUUAUAGCUUUCUCUGUUUGUGCCCCUAUCUAUGUUUGUUUCUUGUGUGCAAGUGCUCCAUUCUCUGUGUGUGUGACUGUGUGGCUUGAUGGUGAAUAUGUCUGGCUUGACUGUGUGUGUGUGUGUGUGCGCGCGUGGCUUGACUGUGUGUGUGUGUGACUCUGUGUGGCUUGACUGUGUGUGUGUGACUCUGUGUGGCUUGACUCUGUGUGUGACUUGACUGUGUGUGUGACUCUGUGUGGCUUGACUGAUGUGACUCUGUGAAUAUUGCGUUUGCUUGAUGGUGUGGCUUGUAUGCUUUGUUGAAUGAUUGGUUGUAUAACUUGUGUUUUACAUUGUUGUGGCAUGAUUGAUUGCUCUUUGUUGAAUGUGAACUCGUAUCCAUGUAUGCUAACUUGGUAUUGGUAGUUCCUAAUCAUAGGCAACACACCUAUUACUACUAGCUUGUUUAGUGUAGACUAACUAUUCUUUUUUCUGAUUUUUUGUGUGAUUAUGUCUUCACAUUGCACUGCUCGAUCCAUAUCGACAUGCCCACGCUGCCUGAUGAGGAUAAAGAUGUUAUGAAAAAAUGGGGUGCUCCAAACAAGAUUGACUUCUUCUCUCUCUUAUACAAGGCAUGCAGAAGAUGUGCAGCAAGCACAGGAGUUCCUCUCUAAGUUAGGUGAUCUUAGUCAAACUCUGUUUUUUCCAAAAUUGAGAAUGUGGAGGGCUUGAACCAUUUUGAUGAGAUCCUGGAAGAAGCAGAUGGUAUAAUUCUGUCACCUUGGAAUUGAUCUUCCACCUGAAAAGGUGUUCUUAUUUCAGAAGUCUGCUCUGCACAAGUGCAAUAUGGCUGGAAAGCCUGCUGUUGUUACUCGUGUUGUGGACAGUAUGACGGACAACCUAAGGCUACUCGUGCGGAGGCAACUGAUGUGGCAAACGCGGUGCUGGACGAAAUAUGAACAUAACACAUGGGUACACUCAAUUCUGAACUCAACCACUAGCACUGUAAUAUGAAUAAUGAGUAAGAUGAGGUUAACGACAGUGAGUACUCCAUGUGCUCUGUCUCAUACUUCCCAUUGUUGCUAUCAUGGUUUAAAAUUUGCGGAGUAUGCACAAGUGCCAGUCUUGACCAGCAAUAUGUUGUUAGUCCUGAGUAUAGCAAUGUAUGCAGGAUAUGCUUUCCGCUAAAGCACCAGCAGCAACCAAGAAGAUUGAAAAAUCCAAUGAAAGUUCUGAUUCUGAAAGCUCUGACUCUGAGAAGCCAGCCACUGAAGUAAAGAAUUCUGCGGUUGCUACUGCACAAAAGAAAAACCAGGGAUUGGAAGGCUCUGACAGUGAUUCUGAUGAUUCAUCAGAAGGAUAUGGCCACUAAAAAACGAGUGGCCAAGAAAGUGGUAGAAUCCAUUGGAAGUUCUGAUUCUGACUCUGAGUAGGAUACCACUGCUAAACCAGUUCAAUCUUCCAAGGUUGUUGCUGUAAGAAUAAAGAAUCUAGUGAUAGCUCAGAUUCUGACUCAGAUUCAGAUUCUGAAGAAGUUCUCUGUUGUACUUGUUUACUCUUGGAUACCGUUGUUAAAACAGUUUCUAUAAAGAAAGAAGAAUCUAGUGCUAGCUCAGAUAAUGACUCGGAUUCAGAUUCUGAUGAACCAGCAAAAUCUACUAUUCCUGCUAAGAGGCCUCUGACAACAGAGAAAAAAGAGCGAACAUUCCAAGGAUGAUUCUGAUGAGAGUGAUGAAGAGCCUGCACUAAAGAAGCCUAAGGAUUCAUCUUCUGGUGGUGCCAAGCCAGUCUCUAAGGUCCCCAAGAAACAAAGCAGUGGUGAUGACGACAGUUCUGAAGGGAGCUCCAGCUGUGAUGAUGAAAACGAUUAAUGAAUGUCAAUGGCAAAGUCCAAGCAGAAUGAAGAACGAAGAUCUGAAUCACCCUCACCCCGCUAGAGAAAUCGGUUUACUCAUUCAAGUUCUGGAAAUUCUUUAUAGCUUUCUGAGUUUACUUCGGUCUUGCAUGUGUUAGCUUUCUGUUUAAUUUGUGCCCCUUUCUCUGUCUGUUUCUUGUGUGCAAGCGCUCCAUUCUGUGUGUGUGACUGUGUGGCUUGACUCUAUGUGUGUGGCUUUUUUGUGUGUGUUGCUUGACUCUCUAUGUGUGGCUUGAUGGUGAAUAUGUGUGUGGCUUGACUGUGUGUGUGCUUGACUCUGUGUGUCUGUGUGACUGUAAAUAUUGCAUUUGCUUGAUGGUGUGGUUUGUAUGCUUUGUUGAAUGAUUGAUUGUGUAUAACUUGUGUUUGUAUGCUUGACUCUAUGUGUGUGGCUUCUUUGUGUGUGUUGCUUGACUCUCUGUGUGUGGCUUGAUGGUGAAUAUGUGUGUGGCUUGACUGUGUGUGUGCUUGACUCUGUGUGUCUGUGUGACUGUGUGAAUAUUGCAUUUGCUUGAUGGUGUGGUUUGUAUGCUUUGUUGAAUGAUUGAUUGUGUAUAACUUGUGUUUUAUAUUGU